UACGGAGGGGGCUAGCGUUGUUCGGAAUUACUGGGCGUAAAGCGUACGUAGGCGGCUUUGUAAGUUAGAGGUGAAAGCCCAGAGCUCAACUCUGGAAUUGCCUUUAAGACUGCAUCGCUUGAAUCGUGGAGAGGUUAGUGGAAUUCCGAGUGUAGAGGUGAAAUUCGUAGAUAUUCGGAAGAACACCAGUGGCGAAGGCGACUAACUGGACACGUAUUGACGCUGAGGCGCGAAAGCUAGGGGAGCAAACGGG
rnacentral:rRNA from 1 species